rnacentral:rRNA from 1 species
GAUGAACGCUAGCGGCAGGCCUAAUACAUGCAAGUCGAACGGUGUCUUCGGACAUAGUGGCGCACGGGUGCGUAACACGUAUGCAACCUACCUUACAUUGGGGGAUAGCCUUUCGAAAGGGAGAUUAAUACCGCAUAAGACAGUAGCUGGGCAUCCAGCAGCUGUUAAAGAUCUAUCGAUGUAAGCUGGGCAUGCGUCCAAUUAGCUAGUUGGUGAGGUAACGGCUCACCAAGGCAAUGAUUGGUAGGGGAACUGAGAGGUCAAUCCCCCACACUGGCAAUGAGCUAAGGGCCAGACUCCUACGGGAGGCAGCAGUAGGGAAUAUUGGGCAAUGGACGCAAGUCUGACCCAGCCAUGCCGCGUGCAGGAUGAAGGCGUUAUGCGUUGUAAACUGCUUUUAUACAGGAAGAAACGACUCUUGCGAGAGGCAUUGACGGUACUGUAUGAAUAAGCACCGGCUAACUCCGUGCCAGCCGCCGCCGUAAUAC